rnacentral:lncRNA from 1 species
AAGUGAAUGCUCACUGGAAGGCUUACUGGAAAACUUACUGGAAGGAUGUGAGGACAUGUUCGGGAAUCUAUUUGCAGAAAACAUAUUCAGCCCUGUCCACCACAGCCAGCUGGCUGAAGAGCUCAAAAGGCAAGAAAUCAGCAAGAGAGAGAGAUGAAGCAUGAGAAAUGAGCAAAAAACACCCAGCACAUCAUAAUCUUGGACAGUUUAGCAGUACAUGAAAAUAGAUGGUCCUCGCCCCAAGGGACUGCAGUAACCCUGAAUAAACAGGAUGUCUCUCACUUUUAGCAGUUCUUUCUGUGCUAGUAUUGGGGAAAUAUAUUUUUGGCUGCAUGCAAAAUGGUAAAA